rnacentral:rRNA from 1 species
AUUGAACGCUGGCGGCAGGCCUAACACAUGCAAGUCGAACGGUAACAGGAAGAAGCUUGCUUCUUUGCUGACGCGUGGCGGACGUGUGAGUCAUGUCUGGGAAACUGCCUGAUGGAGGGGGAUAACUACUGAAACCGGUGCUUAAUACCGCUUAUUUUCUCAAGACCAAGGAGGGGAACUUUCGGGCCUCUUUCCAUCGAAUUUUCCCAGAUGGGAUUAGCUAGUAGGUGGGGUAACGGCUCACCUAGGCGACGAUCCCUAGCUGGUCUGAGAGGAUGACCAGCCACACUGGAACUGAGACACGGUCCAGACUCCUACGGGAGGCAGCAGUGGGGAAUAUUGCACAAUGGGCGCAAGCCUGAUGCAGCUAUGCCGCGUGUAUGAAGAAGGCCUUCGGGUUGUAAAGUACUUUCAGCGGGGAGGAACGGAGGAAAGUUAAUACCUUUGCUCAUUGACGUUACCCGCAGAAGAAGCACCGGCUAACUCCGUG